rfam:Erinaceus europaeus unplaced genomic scaffold scaffold00265, whole genome shotgun sequence
GUGCUCAUACUGGCAGCACAUAUACUAAAGGUGGAAAAAAUACGGAGAAGGUUAGCAGGACCCCUGUGUAAGGUGGCACACAAAAUCAUAGUUACAUAUAAAAAAAGA